AAGAUUCCAAUUUGUUAGGUUUAGAUUUAGAUUUGUUAGGUCUAGAUUGUAUAGGCCUCUAGUAUAAAUACCCGUCGAGGGUUCUACCUAGGUUAUUCAUCCAAGAAACCCAAAAACAAGAAAAAUCCAAAAAGUAUUCUACACAGUGUCUUAUAUUCUCUUCUCGAUUGGUCUUAAUAAAGAGUGCGAGUGUUUCCCACAGAGAGUUGUG